UGCCAGACUCCUACGGGAGGCAGCAGUGGGGAAUAUUGGGCAAUGGGCGCAAGCCUGACCCAGCAACGCCGCGUGAAGGAAGAAGGCCUUCGGGUUGUAAACUUCUUUUCUCAGGGACGAAGCAAGUGACGGUACCUGAGGAAUAAGCCACGGCUAACUACGUGCCAGCAGCCGCGGUAAUACGUAGGUGGCAAGCGUUAUCCGGAUUUACUGGGUGUAAAGGGCGUGUAGGCGGGACUGCAAGUCAGAUGUGAAAACCACGGGCUCAACCUGUGGCCUGCAUUUGAAACUGUAGUUCUUGAGUACUGGAGAGGCAGACGGAAUUCCUAGUGUAGCGGUGAAAUGCGUAGAUAUUAGGAGGAACACCAGCGGCGAAGGCGGUCUGCUGGACAGCAACUGACGCUGAGGCGCGAAAGCGUGGGGAGCAAACAGGAUUAGAUACCCUAGUAGAC
rnacentral:rRNA from 1 species